rnacentral:rRNA from 1 species
AUAUUGGACAAUGGGCGAAAGCCUGAUCCAGCAAUGCCGCGUGAGUGAUGAAGGCCUUAGGGUUGUAAAGCUCUUUUACCCGGGAUGAUAAUGACAGUACCGGGAGAAUAAGCUCCGGCUAACUCCGUGCCAGCAGCCGCGGUAAUACGGAGGGAGCUAGCGUUGUUCGGAAUUACUGGGCGUAAAGCGCACGUAGGCGGCUUUGUAAGUUAGAGGUGAAAGCCCGGGGCUCAACUCCGGAACUGCCUUUAAGACUGCAUCGCUUGAAUCCGGGAGAGGUGAGUGGAAUUCCGAGUGUAGAGGUGAAAUCCGUAGAA